GAUUAGGAAAAGAGUGGCGACACGUGCUCUCUGGUGUCCUGGGGGAUGUUCGCCCUCGCCCCCGACGGGUGGCCGACCCUCGGCCCGCAGGGUGAUGCUGGCCCGCGGCGCCGGUUCCCGCCCCGCGGCGGGAACGAAGCUCCGGGGGCCCGGACUUCAGGGACCGCCCCCCGCAUAGCAACUGCGGCUUGGGCGGAGGAGACAGAAUGUUUUUCUCAGACAAUAAGAGCUCUCCAGACCCCGGCGAUUGGAUGAAGGCAUGCAACCUUUCUUUGCUUCUUCUUGUCGGUGAGCGUAUUCGGAGUGACCUCAGUUUGGGGGAUCCAGCACACAGAUGGAGAAGUGAUUCUUCAACUCAUCGAAGUACCUACGGCGGUCAAAGCGUUACGUCUCUGCUUUGGAGGGGCUGUCAAGAAAAGCGGUCCCUGGUGUUCCAGGGUUUGGGAUGCAGAGGCAGGAAGUGCCCUGGACCCCAGGAAGGAGCGUUUCCAGUGGGACCCGGCAGAAUGCGGCCCUGUGAGGAAGUAAAGGCCGUUUCCAGCCGAUGAAACAUGUGACCAAAGGGAGGAAGUGUGAAAGUGCUUGAGAGGGUGUGGGGAACUCAAAAGUUGGGGAGAAACUGGGGAACUGCACAGCGAGGGAAAGGGAGGAAUAGGUAGGAAUAGAUGGGCUGGUAUUGAGUUAUGGGGGGCUUUGUCAGAGUUCGGCUUGUUGUGCCCGGUAUGGGCCAGGAGGGCCCCACGUGGUGGUGGGCAGAUGUCCGGGUGUGCCUGCAGUGGUGGGUUAGGAAGUCACUGGGGUGGAGCCCGUAGACUUGGAAGGAGGGGGCUGAUUGGUCGCUGCGGGGCACCGGCUGCAUCGUAUUCUUGGUGGAAGGUAGAUUUUAGAUGUUGGAGGGUAUUUUAUUGUGUUAACAGUUUUAAAUUCUCUGAAUAUUCAGACUUGCUGUAGUCAAAUA